AGUGAACGCUGGCGGUAGGCCUAACACAUGCAAGUCGAACGGUAGCACAGUAAGAGCUUGCUCAUACGGGUGGCGAGUGGCGGACGGGUGAGGAAUAAGUCGGAUUCUACUUUUUCGUGGGGGGUAACGUAGGGAAACUUCCGCUAAUACCGCCUUCGACCUACGUGUGAAAUCAGGCGAUCUUCGGACUUUUCGCGACUUAAUGCGCCGAUGUCGGAUUACCUCGUUGGCGGGGCAAAUGCUCACCAAGGCGACGAUCUGUAGCUGGUCUGAGAGGAUGAUCCGACACACUGUAACUGAGACACAGUACAGACACCUGCAGGAGGCAGCAGUGAGGAAUAUUAGGGUAAGGGCGCAAGUCUGAUCCAGCCAUCCCGCGUGAGUCAAGUAGGCCUUCGGGUUGUAAAGCCCUUUUGGUGGGAAAGAAGAGCAGCAGGUUAAUACCCCGCUGUUCUGACGGUACCCAAAGAAUAAGCCCCUGCUAACUUCGUG
rnacentral:rRNA from 1 species